rnacentral:rRNA from 1 species
ACUUUCUUUUCCAUUUCAAAAAAUAAUGGAGAUACCACCGAAAAGCAUUAAGAAUAGUCAUCCAUGGUAAAAAAUUUUAGAAGCCGAGUAGUGUCUGUUUCAAAUUAAAAAAUCGAAAGCACUACUCAUAACAUUGCAACCAAACAUUCAUACAACAUGCCAAAAAAAAAAAAUCCCAUUAGGGGGGGCCCCCCAAACACAUUUCCCAAAAAAAAAUCAAAGGCCAGCCAAUUUCCUUCCGUUUAAAAUAAAAUUUUCCCCCCAAUUUAAAAAUUUUGGAUACCCGGGGUCCAAACCCUUUUCAAAAAAAAAUUUUAAAACUUUUUUCCAAAAAAAAAAAAUUAAAAAACUUUUUACAAAAUUAAAAAAAAAAUAAAAUUACCUAAAAAAUUAAUUUUACCACCUUUUAGUUUUAAAAUUUAAAUUGUAACCCCAAUAAUCCGG